UCCCCCUUAGCUCAGUGGUAGAGCGCAUCACUCGUAUUAUGGUAGCAUAACACAUGAUGAGGUCAGUCGUUCAAGUCGGCUAGGGGGAA